rnacentral:rRNA from 1 species
CUGACGACCGGCGCACGGGUGAGUAACACGUAUGAAACCUGCCCGUAGCAGGGGGAUAAGCGGAAGAAAUUCCGUCUAAUACCGCGUAACAACCCAUGGAGGCAUCUCUGUGGGUUUAAAGGAAGCGAUUCCGGCUACGGAUGGUCAUGCGUCGCAUUAGCUUGUUGGCGGGGUAACGGCCCACCAAGGCGACGAUGCGUAGGGGUUCUGAGAGGAAGGUCCCCCACACUGGUACUGAGACACGGACCAGACUCCUACGGGAGGCAGCAG